rnacentral:rRNA from 1 species
UACGGAGGGUGCGAGCGUUGUUCGGAAUCACUGGGCGUAAAGCGCGUGUAGGCGGCCCGAUAAGUCUGGUGUGAAAGCCCGGGGCUCACCCCCGGAAGUGCACUGGAUACUGUUAGACUAGAGUCUCGGAGAGGAGAGUGGAAUUCCUGGUGUAGCGGUGAAAUGCGUAGAUAUCAGGAGGAACACCGGUGGCGAAGGCGGCUCUCUGGACGAUGACUGACGCUGAGACGCGAAAGCGUGGGGAGCAAACAGG